rnacentral:rRNA from 1 species
UGCCAGCAGCCGCGGUAAUACAGAGGGUGCAAGCGUUAAUCGGAAUUACUGGGCGUAAAGCGUACGUAGGUGGAUUGAUAAGUCGGAUGUGAAAGCCCUGGGCUCAACCUAGGAAUUGCAUUCGAUACUGUCGAACUAGAGUACAGAAGAGGAAAGUGGAAUUUCUAGUGUAGCGGUGAAAUGCGUAGAUAUUAGAAGGAACACCAGUGGCGAAGGCGACUUUCUGGUCUGAUACUGACGCUGAGGUACGAAAGCGUGGGGAGCAAACAGGAUUAGAUACCCUGGUAGUCCACGCCCUAAACGAUGAGAACUAGCCGUUGGGGGUAACUGACCUUUAGUGGCGAAGCUAACGUGAUAAGUUCUCCGCCUGGGGAGUACGGUCGCAAGAUUAAAACUCAAAGGAAUUGGCGG